rnacentral:lncRNA from 1 species
AACAAGACCAGUAUAAGAGGGGCUGCUUGGCCCCUCUCCCCUCUCUUAAGCUUCUACUUUCUUCACUCUCUCUCCUUACUUUCUUACUCUCUAAGCUUUUACCUCUCUCUCUAAGCCUUCACCUUUCUUACUCUAUAACUCUCUUUCUCUUUCCCUUCCAGCAUGGGAUGCCAGAGACUGAGAACCUGGUACCGGGGGCUGCCCCUUGUCCACCCCCAGCUGUGUGGGUCAGUGGCUUCACACAGCCAGAUGCCCACCCAAGGCACGUGGAAAGCAUCCGGCAGUCCUCCCAUGUCUGCCUGCCCAAAGCACAGGAACUCUGUUCGGACUCUGGCUAUCUCCCUCCCCGCUCUUCCCCUACAUCUAUGGCCCCACAACAGAACGGCAGGAAACUGAAGUCCAGACUGCAAAAUGGUCAGCCCUCCUUUGAGGAAGAAGGGUAUCUAGCCUCACGUUGAGUUGUCUUCCCCCACACUGCAACAGAAGCAUUGAAUCCUUCGUAAGAAGACCUUUGACCCAUGGAUGCUAAUCAGCAAGCCAGAGUCUUUAGCAGUUCUUAGUUUUGUCAGCCUCCACAACUUCAUGAGACAAUUCAUCACAAUAAAUCUCUUUCCAUGUAUGUUUAUAAAUAUUCCAAUAGUUCUGUUUCUCUGGAGAACCCUGACUGGUACAAGUGUUAAACCCAGAGGAAAGAGUAACUACUUCCAUCAGUCUGGCAGCCAGACCCAUGCCUCUUAAGGGGCGACUCUUUUUUUUUUUUUUUUCAUGAGCCAUUAUACUGUACUCCAUCAUUCACUCCAGAGAUCUCGAUGGGUGCUGGAAACUUGGUUGUAUUAUAUCAAGAUGAAAUGGAUCAGGGAGGAUACUGUGAAAGCAGAUCGAAGGCUCAUUAGAAAGGCCGGUCACAAGGCAGCUUGGAAGAUGCUGGUUCUCCUUUUCAGUACAAAGAGAUGAAAGGGAACCGAAAAGUCGGGAUGGGCAACUUGUACAAAAAAGAAGUUAACCAGCUACUUACAGGAAGAAGAGACGGAUGGGAACCAUCAGCACCAACAACUCACUGGUAGCCAUUGGAGCAGAAAAGGCCAGAGCACCACACCUCCAGGCCCCAGGGAUUUACUGGGUAACUCUAAAGUCAGCCAGCUUAAGAACCUAUGCUUACAAGAUACAAGAAAUGUGGAUCCAACCUCAGAACCUUCGAGAAGAGCCACAACUGAAUUUGAGGGAUUUUGGAAGAGUUAAAAAGUAAACUUGUUAGACUGCUGAAAAACAAUAUAAUGCUGCUCACUAC